CAUGMAUGUCUAAGUCCAAGCUGUGUGCGGGAAGGUGUAACAGCUGACUCGCACGCGGCGAAACCGCGGACGGCUCAUUAAAUCAGUCGUGGUCCAAAUGGGCUAGAGUUAUCUUUACUUGGAUAACUGUGGUAAUUCCAGAGCUAAUACAUGCAACUCAUGUCCUGAGCUAUGUGCUCUGUGGGGGCGUCAAACCCUCUGCUUUGUGCUUGCGACGGACGCUUUUAUUAGACCAAACAUAUACGCACACGCGUGCUGCUUCGGUAGUACGGGAUGCUCGUGUUAUGGUGACUCUGGAUAACAACCACGUCGUUGAGACAAGCGCACGUAUCCAUUCGUUUGGGACGGCGCUGCCACUUUCGAGUGUCUGCCUUAUCAGCUAUGAAUCGUUCGUUAUGUGCGACCGAUGGCUUUGACGGGUAACGGGGAAUCAGGGUUCGAUUCCGGAGAGGCAGCCUGAGAAACGGCUACCACGUCCAAGGACGGCAGCAGGCACGCAAAUUACCCAAUCCCAGCACAUGCUUUGUUGCAUUUGGGGAGGUAGUGACGAAAUCUAACGAUGCGGGCGUCCCUUCCGGGACUCCGCAAUCGGAAUGAGCAUUUUCUAAACACCCUGUUGAGAACCUACUGAAGGGCAAGUCUGGUGCCAGCAGCCGCGGUAAUUCCAGCUUCAGUAGCAUCUACUAAAGUUGCUGCGGUUAAAAGGCUCGCAGUUGAAUAUCAGUAUCAGGUGCAGCGAUGGUGGGCGUAAGGUGUUCGCUUGGGGUAUGCUGCUUGCGCUUGUCGUUUGCUGUGUGCCUCUUGCGUGUCGCCCCGUCCGUAACAAAAGCCUCCUCACUUGCGUACAGAAUGAGCUAGUUUGUGUGUGUUGGUUGAAGUGUGCGCCUCGUGUGUGCACGACUCCUUCAUUCACUGCCUGUUCAAUGUCACCUUGAGUAAAUCAGAGUGCUCAAAGCAGUCGUAAGGAGCUCUCGCUUGCGGGAGCUCUGUGAUGAAUACGUGUGUGUUGCGUGCGUGUUGGUUGGUGCUUGCACUCGCUGGCGCGUUUCGUGGCACAUAUAGACGUUGUCUUGGUUUUGCAUGGUAUGUCGUAAGACGCCGCAUUUCUUGUUGGUAACGAGCAUCUCACAUCGUCUUGUGAGUGUGUGUUUAUAUGACCAACAAGUGUGGAAUGAUUGAAAGGAUCAGUCAAUGGUAUUGGUAUUGCGGGGCGAGAGGUGAAAUUCUGUGACCCCCGCAAGACCUCCUGAAGCGAAAGCGUCUGCCAAGGAUGUUUCUUAAUCAKAACGAAACCAGGCGUGGAGCCUGCGGCUUAAUUUGACUCAACACGGGCCAUCUUACCAGGCCAGCACUUUUGUACGAUUGACAGAUUAAGAGUUCUUUCUCGAUUGAAUGGAUGGUGGUGCAUGGCCGUUCUUAGUUGGUGGAGUGAUCUGUCUGGUUAAUUCCGAUAACGAACGAGACUCUCCCCUGCUAACUAGUCGGUUGGAUCUUACUUUGCUGAGUUGUUGUGUGUUGACGCAGUCUCUGUGUUCGCGCUUGCGUGGAUGCUUUGUUGUGUCGGGCACGCACUCUAAGUCCGCCGCUUAUUCGGAUGGCCUAUGUGAAGCUCGUGUGUGUCUGUGUGUUGGUUCCUGUUGUGCGUCCGUUCGCGGGUGUGCUUGCUCCUUCGCGCUUAUGCAUGCUUGUCUAACAGACCGUUGUCUGGAUAAAAUUCUUCUUAGAGGGAUUCACGGUACACUCUGAAGCUGUAAGAAACUGAGAGCAAUAACAGGUCUGUAAUGCCCUUAGAUGUUCUGGGCCGCACGCGCGCUACAAUGCCGGGUUCAGCAGGUAUUCCUUCCCUUCUCCGAGAGGAGUGGGUAACCCUCUGAAAUCCCUUGAACACUAUAACUUAUGCCUGCGUUUGCCUUCACGGGCUUGCGUGGGUUUCUGGCAUGCUUGGGCCUGGGGCUUGCAAUUCUUUCCCACAAACGAGGAAUGCCUAGUAGCGGCGAAUCACUGAGUUUGCUUUGACUCAGUCCCUGCCCUUUGUACACACCGCCCGUCGCUACUACCGAUUGGGUGUACCAGUGAGAUCCUUGGACUGGCGAGCCUUGCAAACCCUCACGGGCCAGCAAGUGUGUACGACGGAAAGAGGCUCGAACUGGUGCACUUAGMGGAAGUAAAAGUCGUAACAAG
rnacentral:rRNA from 1 species